UCACAACGGGAGAGGCCACAAGAGUUAGAGGCCCGCAUACAGCAAAAAAAAAAAAAAAAAAAAAAAAAAAGAAUCUGCCUGCCAUUGCAGGGGACACUGGUUCGAUCCCUGGUCCAGGAAUAUCCCACAUGCCACGGAGCAACUAAGCCCGUGCGCCACAACUACUGAGCCUGCGCUCUAGAGCCCACAAGCCACAACUACUGAAGCCCUUGUGCCUAGAGCCCGUGCUCUGCAACAAGAGAAGCCACCGCAAUGAGAAGCCCUUGCACCGCAACGAAGAGUAACCCCUGCUCGCUGCACCUAGAGAAAGCCGACACGCAGCAACGAAGGCCCAACACAGCCAUAAAUAAAUAAAUAAUAAAUAAAUAAAUUCAUUUAAAAAAAAAAAGAAGGACUUCCCUGGUGGUCCAGUGGUUAAGACUCCGCGCUUCCACUGCAGGGGGCGGGGUUUGAUCCCUGGUAGGGGAACUAAGAUCCCUCGUGCCCGCGCGUCGGCCAAAGAAAACAAAUACCAAAACAAAAGACAGAUAAAAACAAAUGUUGGCAAGGUUGUGGUAAAACAGGAAGCCUUAGACAUUCCUGAUGGGAAUAAAAAAUGGUACAGUCACUUCAGAAAACUGGAAGUUUUUCAAAAGGUUGAAAUAUAUUUACCAUAUGACCCAGCAAUUCCACUCUUUGGUGUCUUCCCAAGAGCUAUGAAAACAUAUAUAUCCACAUAAGAACUUGCACACAAAUGUUCCUAGCAAUAUUAUUCCAUAAUAUAAUAGCCAAAAAGGAAACCAAAUUGGAAACAUCCUAAAUGUCCAUCAACUGGAGAAUGGAUAGAUAAAAUCUGGUAUGUCCAUACAAUGGAAUACAAUUCAACAAUUAAAAGGAACAAAAUACAUGUUAUGGCUUGGAUGAACAUCAAAGAGCAUGCUCAGUGAAAGAAGUCAAACACAGGAGACCUCAUAUUGUAUGAUUCUAUGUAUGGGAACUAUCCAGAGAAGGCAAAGCUAUAGAGACAAAGAGUAGAUUAGUGGUUGCCUGGGGAAGGAGCGGGAGAACAGGAUUAAGAGUAAAUGUGCCAUGAGGGAUCCUAUUAGAGUGAUGAAAAAAAAAUUUUUUUUGGCCACACCACAUGGCUUGUGGAAUCUUAGUUCCCCAACCAGGGGUUGAACCCAGGCCCUCAGCAGUGAAAGCACAGAGUCCUAACCACUGGACCACCAGGGAAUUCCCAAAAAUAUUUUUAAACUGAUUUAUGGUGGUGGUUACCCAACUUGGUAAACUUUUAAAAAUGUCAUUGAAUUGUACACUUGAAAAAGGUGAAUUAAAUGAUAUGCAGAAUAGGCUUUAAUAAAGUUAUUUUUUUAAUUUAUUAUUUAGUUUGGCUGCAUUGGGUCUUCGUUGCGGUGCGUGGGCUUCUCAUUGUGGUGGCUUCUCGUUCUGGAGCACGGGCAUUAGGCACAGGGGCUUCAGUAGUUGCAGCACGCCGGCUCAGCAGCUGUGGCAUGCAGGCCCUAGGGAGCGCGGGCUUCAGUAGUUGUGGCUCGUGGGCUCUAGAGCGCAGGCUCAAUAGUUGUGGCACACGGGCUUAGUUCCUCCGCGGCAUGUGGGAUCUUACCGGACCAGGGAUCGAACCUGUGUCCCCUGCAUUGACAGGUGGAUUCUUAACCAUUGCACCACCAAGGAAGUCCCUAAAGUUAUUUUUUUAAACAUGGGUAUAGAAGAUAGACCAUUUAAAAUACUUAAGACAUGUUAAAUACAUAAUUAUGAUUCCAAAUUGCCAUUGAUUUGUGCUUUGUAUUUCACCAAGAUGUAUUUAUCCACUAUAGAAACUACUCCCCUUCCCUGCCUAUGGAAUGUUAAGUUUGCACUCAAGGUGAUAUGUCUCCCUUCAUUUGAUAUGCCACUAAUUUAUGGUUGUGCAGAAAUAUCAACAGCCUCAUUUAAAACACACACACAUGCAUUUACAUUUACCUAAAUUUGUAAAAAAUAAUGAGGUGAGGUAGAAUUUCCUCCCUCCUGAAAAUUUGUUUUUAGCUACUAAAAAACCUAAUGUUUCCAGGGCUACUGAAAAUAUACAUUUACAAAGUCAUUUACAAACUAUUUUGAGGGUUAGUAUUGAUACAAGGACCACUGAUAAACCUGAUGUAAAAUGUCCCAGACGUGACUUCCUAUCUCCUGUGCACCCAAGGCUGCACCAAAACCCUCCCUGUUUUCUCUAGUAAGUCUUCCUCUCUUCCUCCUCCUCCUCCCUUUUCUUUAAGGUAUUCUUUACAUACCAUUCUUUUUUUUUUUUUUGAAAUAUCAUAUACAGCUUUAUUAUUACCAUGUCAUUUUUUUUACAUCUUAAUUGGACUAUAAUUGCUUUACAAUGGUGUGUUAGUUUCUGCUUUAUAACAAAGUGAAUCAGUUAUACAUAUACAUAUGUUCCCAUAUUUCUUCCCUCUUGCAUCUCCCUCCCUCCCACCUUCCCUAUCCCACCCCUCUAUGUGGUCACAAAGCACUGAGCUGAUCUCCCUGUGCUAUGCGGCUGCUUCCCACUAGCGAUCUAUUUUACGUUUGGUAGUGUAUAUAUGUCCAUGCCACUCUCUCACUUUGUCACAGCUUACCCUUCCCCCUCCCUCUGUCCUCAAGUCCAUUCUCUAGUAGGUCCGUGUCUUUAUUGCUGUCUUACCCCUAGGUUCUUCAUGACAUUGUUUUUUCUUAAAUUCCAUAUAUAUGUGUUAGCAUACGGUAUUUGUCUUUCUCUUUCUGACUUACUUCACUCUAGUUUUUUUUUUUCUUAUUUAACUCUCUCUUUUGCUUUUCCUCAUUUUUUAUAUUGUUUAGACUUUAAAAAAAAAAGAAAUCUGGAAAUUUAUCCUUUCCUGUCUCUUUUGAUUGGCUUCAACUUUUUCAGGUCAACCUUGUACAUCUGCUGUGGAUUCUAACUCCCCUUCAGUGGAACUGGCAGUGGAACUGGCUUGUGAACUGCAGGAUGUGGUCUUAGGCGCUGGCAUCCCAGAGACGAAAACUCUUAAAGCUCAAAGAAUCAAUACAGGGCUUCCCUGGUGGCGCAGUGGUUAAGAAUCCGCCUGCCAAUGCAGGGGACACGGGUUCAAGCCCUGGCCCGGGAAGAUCCCACAUGCCGCAGAGCAACUAAGCCCAUGCGCCACAACUACUGAGCCUGCGCUCUAGAGCCUGCAAGCCACAACUACUGAGCCCGCACCCUGCAACUACUGAAGCCCGCAUGCCUACAGCCUGUGCUCCGCAACAAGAGAAGCCACCGCAAUGAGAAGCCCGCACACUGCCAUGAAGAGUAGCCCCUGCUCACCGCAACUAGAGAAAGCCCGCGACACAGCCAGGAAUAAAAAAAAAGAAAAGAAAAAGAAAAAAUCAUUACACAAGGGUUGGAAUGACCAUCGUGAGAACUGGGUAUGAAUGUUCAUCUGGGAAAAGUAAGAGUUGCCAAGUAGUGUUAAAGACCCAGCUGGGAUUAGAAACCGUGUAUGUGCAUUGGCAUCAGUCGGCAGAAUUACGAGAUUUCUUCCAGCAGUGGUCAGCUGUCUGGGUGUGGGAAAGAAGUUGGGUAAUUAGAUUGAUCCAAAGAUGGGGGCUCUCAGGACAGGCUGCCUCCUGUUCUGGUCUCUGGUAAAGUAAGUAAAAGUAGAUAUGGAAUUUUAUUGAAUUUAUUUAAUCUCUCAAUAGAUUAAACCUUGUAGAACUCAAAA